ACAAUGAAGAGUUUGAUCCUGGCUCAGGAUGAACGCUAGCUACAGGCUUAACACAUGCAAGUCGAGGGGCAGCAUGAAUAUUGGCUUGCCAAUAUUUGAUGGCGACCGGCGCACGGGUGAGUAACACGUAUCCAACCUUCCGGUUACUCGGGGAUAGCUUUCGAAAGAAAGAUUAAUACCCGAUGUUGUGUAUCUUUCUCCUGAUUGAUACGCCAAAGGAUUCCGGUAACCGAUGGGGAUGCGUUCCAUUAGGCAGUUGGCGGGGUAACGGCCCACCAAACCUUCGAUGGAUAGGGGUUCUGAGAGGAAGGUCCCCCACAUUGGAACUGAGACACGGUCCAAACUCCUACGGGAGGCAGCAGUGAGGAAUAUUGGUCAAUGGACGGAAGUCUGAACCAGCCAAGUAGCGUGAAGGAUGACUGCCCUCUGGGUUGUAAACUUCUUUUAUACGGGAAUAACAUGAGGUACGGGUACCUUAUUGCAUGUACCGUUAUGAAUAAGCAUCGGCUAACUCCGUGCCAGCAGCCGCGGUAAUACGGAGGAUGCGAGCGUUAUCCGGAUUUAUUGGGUUUAAAGGGAGCGUAGGUGGGAUAUUAAGUCAGCUGUGAAAGUUUGGGGCUCAACCUUAAAAUUGCAGUUGAUACUGGUUUUCUUGAGUACGGUAUAGGUGGGCGGAAUUCGUGGUGUAGCGGUGAAAUGCUUAGAUAUCACGAAGAACUCCUAUUGCGAAGGCAGCUCACUGGACCGGCACUGACACUGAUGCUCGAAAGUGCGGGUAUCAAACAGGAUUAGAUACCCUGGUAGUCCGCACAGUAAACGAUGAAUACUCGCUGUUUGCGAUACACAGUAAGCGGCCAAGCGAAAGCGUUAAGUAUUCCACCUGGGGAGUACGCCGGCAACGGUGAAACUCAAAGGAAUUGACGGGGGCCCGCACAAGCGGAGGAACAUGUGGUUUAAUUCGAUGAUACGCGAGGAACCUUACCCGGGCUUAAAUUGCGCUGGCUUUUACCGGAAACGGUAUUUUCUUCGGACCAGCGUGAAGGUGCUGCAUGGUUGUCGUCAGCUCGUGCCGUGAGGUGUCGGCUUAAGUGCCAUAACGAGCGCAACCCUUAUCUUUAGUUGCCAUCAGGUUUUGCUGGGGACUCUAAAGAGACUGCGUCGUAAGAUGCGAGGAAGGUGGGGAUGACGUCAAAUCAGCACGGCCCUUACGUCCGGGGCUACACACGUGUUACAAUGGGGAGCACAGCAGGUUGCUACACGGCGACGUGAUGCCAAUCCGUAAAACUCCUCUCAGUUCGGAUCGAAGUCUGCAACCCGACUUCGUGAAGCUGGAUUCGCUAGUAAUCGCGCAUCAGCCACGGCGCGGUGAAUACGUUCCCGGGCCUUGUACACACCGCCCGUCAAGCCAUGAAAGCCGGGGGUACCUGAAGUACGUAACCGCAAGGAUCGUCCUAGGGUAAACCUGGUGAUUGGGGCUAAGUCGUAACAAGGUAGCCGUACCGGAAGGUGCGGCUGGAACACCUCCUUU
rnacentral:rRNA from 1 species